AACCAGCGGAGGGAUCAUUA
rnacentral:rRNA from 22 species